UAGUCCACACUGUAAACGAUGGAUACUAGGUGUAGGCUGUGAAUAACGGUCUGUGCCGUCGCUAACGCAGUAAGUAUCCCACCUGGGGAGUACGACCGCAAGGUUGAAACUCAAAGGAAUUGACGGGGGCCCGCACAAGCAGUGGAGUAUGUGGUUUAAUUCGACGCAACGCGAAGAACCUUACCAGGGCUUGACAUAUACAGGAAUAUGUAAGAGAUUACAUAGCUCUUCGGAGUCUGUAUACAGGUGGUGCAUGGUUGUCGUCAGCUCGUGUCGUGAGAUGUUGGGUUAAGUCCCGCAACGAGCGCAACCCCUGUCCUUAGUUGCCAGCACGUAAUGGUGGGAACUCUAGGGAGACUGCCGGUGAUAAAUCGGAGGAAGGUGGGGACGACGUCAAUCAUCAUGCCCUUUAUGUCCUGGGCUACACACGUACUACAAUGGCUAUAACAAAGGGAAGACGAAAUCGACGAGGUGGAGCAAAACUACAAAAAAUAAGUAUCCCCAGUUCGGAUUGAAGGCGU
rnacentral:rRNA from 1 species